rnacentral:rRNA from 1 species
UACGGAGGGUGCAAGCGUUAUCCGGAUUUACUGGGGUUAAAGGGUGUGUAGGCGGACUUUUAAGUCCGUGGUGAAAUCUCCGGGCUCAACCCGGAAACUGCCAUGGAUACUAUUGGUCUUGAAUGUUGUUGAGGUGGGCGGAACGGGUCAUGUAGCGGUGAAAUGCAUAGAUAUGACCCGGAACACCGAUUGCGAAGGCAGCCCACUAAGCAAUGAUUGACGCUGAGGCACGAAAGCGUGGGGAUCAAACAGG